AUGGCAGUCCACAGGAACAAGCACCUUACAAGAGGUGGCAAAAAUGGAAUAAAAAAGAGAAAGCUUUUUUGAUACAUUUUCUAAGAAUGAUCAGUACGAUGUGAAAGCACCAGCCACGUUCAAUAUAAUAAGUAUUGAGGAAACACUAGUCACCAGGACUCAAUGAAUCCAAAUUACAACUGCAUCUGCUGGCAUUAAGGGUCAGGUGUUUGAAGUGAACCCCCUGACCUGCCGAAUGAUGAAGUUGCAUUUAGAAAAGUCAAACUAAGUAAUGAGGAUAAUCAGAGGAAGAACUGCCUGACCAACUUUAUGACAUGGAUCUCAAUGGAGACAAAAUGUACUCCAUGGUCAAAAAAUGGCAGACCAUGACUGAAGCUCCUGUUGAUGUCAUGAGUAUAGAUAGUUACUUGCUUUAUUUGUUCUGUGAUAGUUUUACUAAAAAUCUAACAACAAGAUAAGAGAGAUCUGCUAUGCUCAGCAUCAACUGUUCUGCUAAAUCCUAAAGAUGAUGAUGGAACUUAGGACUGAGAAGUGAAGACAAAUGAAAGAAGUACUUAAUAAAUUGAUUCCAGAAAGCGUUUUGGUGAAAACAUAGAAGAAAAGUCUUACCAGUCCAUCCAUUUCUAGUAUCUUUGUUAGAGAACUAAAAUGCUGAAGAAGCCCAAGUUUGAAUUGGGAAAACUCAUGGAGCUCCAUGGUGAAGGUAAUAGUUCUGGAAAACAAUACCAGGGUUGA